rnacentral:lncRNA from 1 species
CUAAUUGUAGAAAUAAAAUGUGUUUUAACUGCAAUAUUAAUAAUGUGCAAACAAUAUAAUAAAAACUAUAACAUUUUUAAAAAAUCAAGUUAUAUUUUAUUCAUUUUCUUUUUGUUUACACUUUAAAAAAAACAAAUUACUAAAAUGCGUGUUCAAGACAUAACCAAAGAAGAACUAGAGAGAGCAGCUAAAUCUAUUAUUUCAAUUGAGUCUGCUACUCAAAUGACUAAAAGACAUGUUAGGCAAAAAAUAGAAGAGUUUUUUAAUUUAAAUGAAAAUGCUUUAUACGAAAGAAAAAAUGAAAUUAAUGAGAUAAUUGGUGAUGUUCUUACAAAUCUUAUUGAAGAAAAACAAAAUAAAAAAAAUGAGAAUGAGAAUGAAAAUAAAUUAGUGGUAAAGGAAGACAUUAUGAAUAAUGUGAAAAAUAGUAAUGUAGAAGAAAAUAAAUCUAUUUUGAAAAUGACUUCUGAAAACGUUGAACAGGUAUAAAAUAAUAUACAUAUACACAUGUAUAUUUGUAUAUAUUAUACUAUUUAAAUAAAGUAGUUUUGUGUUUUGAGUUAAUAUGGUAG